GCUUACGGCCACACCGCCUGGUUAAUGCCCGAUCUCGUUUGAUCUCGGAAGCUAGGAUAGGUUGGGCCUGGUUAGUACUUGGAUGGGAGACCGCCUGGGAUUACCAGGUGCUGUAAGGU
rnacentral:rRNA from 1 species